GAUGAACGCUGGCGGCGUGCUUAACACAUGCAAGUCGAACGAUGAAGCCCAGCUUGCUGGGUGGAUUAGUGGCGAACGGGUGAGUAACACGUGAGUAACCUGCCCUUGACUCUGGGAUAAGCCUGGGAAACUGGGUCUAAUACUGGAUAUGACUUCUCAUCGCAUGGUGGGGGGUGGAAAGAUUUAUUGGUCUUGGAUGGACUCGCGGCCUAUCAGCUUGUUGGUGAGGUAAUGGCUCACCAAGGCGACGACGGGUAGCCGGCCUGAGAGGGUGACCGGCCACACUGGGACUGAGACACGGCCCAGACUCCUACGGGAGGCAGCAGUGGGGAAUAUUGCAAAAUGGGCGCAAGCCUGAUGCAGCGACGCCGCGUGAGGGAUGACGGCCUUCGGGUUGUAAACCUCUUUCAGUAGGGAAGAAGCGAGAGUGACGGUACCUGCAGAAGAAGCGCCGGCUAACUACGUG
rnacentral:rRNA from 1 species